AUUGAACGCUGGCGGCAGGCCUAACACAUGCAAGUCGAACGAGUGGCGGACGGGUGAGUAAUGUCUGGGAAACUGCCUGAUGGAGGGGGAUAACUACUGGAAACGGUAGCUAAUACUGCUUACCAUCGGAUGUGCCCAGAUGGGAUUAGCGAGUAGGUGGGGUAAAGGCUGACCUAGGCGACGCUCCCUAGCUGGUCUGAGAGGAUGACCAGCCACACUGGGACUGAGACACGGUCCAGACUCCUACGGGAGGCAGCAGUGGGGAAUAUUGCGCAAUGGGCGCAAGCCUGAUGCAGCCAUGCCGCGUGUAUGAAGAAGGCCUUCGGGUUGUAAAGUACUUUCAGCAGGGAGGCGUUACCCACAGAAGAAGCACCGGCUAACUCCGUGCCAGCAGCCGCGGUAAUAC
rnacentral:rRNA from 1 species